CGGGAAUAUGACAGUUGUUACCCAUUCGUUUGAUAUGUUCCAGAUUUUAAUAUUAACAUUUGAUUAGAAACUGUUUUUUUUUAAGUUUCCUCUGCGUUCAUUAUUUUGCUAUUUUACUUUUUACUUGCAUAUAUAUAUAUAAUAUAACAUCUACACACACUUAAAAAUCACGUGUCUUAUGUCUAUCUCUAGAUUCGCCUUCCG
rnacentral:lncRNA from 1 species